GACGAACGCUGGCGGCUUGCUUAACACAUGCAAGUCGAACGGUAAGACCCUUCGGGGUACACGAGUGGCGAACGGGUGAGUAACACGUGGGUGAUCUGCCCUGCACUUCGGGAUAAGCCUGGGAAACUGGGUCUAAUACCGGAUAGGACCACUGCCUGCAUGGGUGGUGGUGGAAAGCUUUUGCGGGUUGGGAUGGGCCCGCGGCCGAGCAGCUUGUUGGUGGGGGGAUGGCCUACCAAGGCGACGACGGGUAGCCGGCCUGAGAGGGGGAGCGGCCACACUGGGACUGAGAUACGGCCCAGACUCCUACGGGAGGCAGCAGUGGGUAAUCUUGCGCAAUGGGCGCAAGCCUGAUGCAGCGACGCCGCGUGAGGGAUGACGGCCUUCGGGUUGUAAACCUCUUUCAGCACCGACGAAGCGCAAGUGACGGUAGGUGCAGAAGAAGGACCGGCCAACUACGUGCCAGCCGCCGCCGUAA
rnacentral:rRNA from 1 species